rnacentral:rRNA from 1 species
UACGUAGGUGACCAGCGUUGUCCGGAUUUACUGGGCGUAAAGAGCGCGCAGGCGGUCGUUCAAGUCGAGUGUGAAAGCCCCCGGCUCAACUGGGGAGGGUCAUUCGAUACUGAUCGACUGGAAGGCAGGAGAGGGAAGCGGAAUUCCCGGUGUAGUGGUGAAAUGCGUAGAUAUCGGGAGGAACACCAGUGGCGAAGGCGGCAUCCUGGACCGACAUUGACGCUGAUGAGCGAAAGCUAGGGGAGCAAACGGG